AAGGGAGACCUAAUUCCGGUAGGAGACGAAAAAAAAGUAGUCCCAACCAAGAAUCAAUCCCAAAAGGUCGGAGCGAGGCGAAAUUGGCUUUCAAACUAGGUUCUGGGUUCACAUAAGACCUGAAUCAGGAACAAGGGCUAUUAGCUCAGGUGGUUAGAGCGCACCCCUGAUAAGGGUGAGGUCCCUGGUUCGAGUCCAGGAUGGCCCACCUGUACAGGUGGAAGAAAGAAAAGAAGCUCCGAAUCAGCACCUUAUCUUACUUAUAUAGUAAGAGAGAAUGCUGGCUCUGAGUUCAGAGUCCAGAGGAACCUUGAAAACUGCAUAGAGCUAGGUGAAAAAGCCAAAAAAGAAGACCGCCA
rnacentral:tRNA from 1 species